rnacentral:rRNA from 1 species
ACGGGUGAGAAACGCGUAGGUAAUCUACCCAAGUGACCGGAAUAACCAGCCGAAAGGUUGGCUAAUACUGGAUAGAGCGUAUGGUUCGUAGGGGAUCGUACGGGAAAGGGAGGCAAUACAGCAAUGUGUUGCUUUUGCAAUUGGAUGAGCCUGCGUCCCAUUAGCUAGUUGGUGAGGUAACGGCUUACCAAGGCAGUGAUGGGUAGCUGGUCUGAGAGGACGAUCAGCCACACUGGAACUGAGACACGGUCCAGACUCCUACGGGAGGCAGCAGUGGGGAAUCUUGCGCAAUGGGCGAAAGCCUGACGCAGCGACGCCGCGUGGGUGAAGAAGGCCUUCGGGUUGUAAAGCCCUGUCGAGUGGGACAAAUGGCAUCCACAAUAAUAAGGUGGGUGAUUGAUGGUACCACUAAAGGAAGCACCGGCUAACUCCGUGCCAGCAGCCGCGGUAAUACGGAGGGUGCAAGCGUUGUUCGGAAUUACUGGGCGUAAAGGGCAGGUAGGUGGUCUUGUAAGUCUGCUGUGAAAUUCCCGAGCUUAACUCGGGCAGUGCGGUGGAUACUGCGGGACUAGAGAGUCGGAGGGGUG